GAAAAAUAUUAGUUAAAUAUUGCAAAUAAUUAUAUGACUUAGCAUCAUUUAUUACAAGGCAUCUUUAGCUUUCCAUUUUUUCUGAUUGUUUCUGUUCCAGUUCAAGGACUGACCUAUUCCUCCCAUAUCCGCUCUGAGCUCUGCUUUCUAAUGUAAAAGCCACACCCACCUUGCUGGAUUUGAAAAGUGGAUACGCCUGAAUUUGUUAAAUCCACAUCUCUGAGCUACUUGUAUUUCUACCUUGGCUAUUUGUUUGGCAGCAGGCAGUUGACAUAUUGAACUACAGCUUCAAAUGUUUUCCGGCUUUUUUUGGCUCUAGUUUUUUAUACAGGCAUUUACUUUACCAAGGCAGUUGGAUUGAAUCUCACGAAGCUGCAAGUAACUGACUUACUGAGCAUCCCUGAGAGAAUCUCUUAACCUGUCCGCAUGCCAAAUGUAUGAAUACAUUUCACAGGUAAAAAGCAGCACCAUGUUACACUGGACAUUCACUUCAAAUAAUCAGGUAAAAAUCAAGGACAACAGGGAGUGCCUUUUUAAUAUUAAUGUCUAUUUUUACAGGCUAUAGUGCGGAAUACAAUGAAAGAAAAUGCAACAUGAAAUUAGUUCUUCAAUUGGAAGAUAAGAAAAGCAUCAUUGCAAAGCAAAUCCUCUGUGCCUUCCUGAUGAUAACCAGCUUUUUGCUCAAGGCUCAAUAUCCUCGAGAUGCUGCAGAACACUUAGUAAUGACAUAGUCAGGGCAUCAUGCUGUUUCCCCCUCCCUGCUUUUAUUUAAUGGGAGUGUACGAUUAUGUUUAUAGGUCUAUCGUGUAUUGUCCUGCAACAUACAUACAAAUGCUGACAAUGUAUAUUUGUGCAUUAAAAUGUUUCUAUCAUACCUGUAAGAAAUGAACUACUGUGUGUGGAGGCAAUUAUCAAGCUUUUUUUUAUAUUUAUGCUGUAAAUUAUAAAUUUAAAAACAUUUUAAAUUUAUUGUAAUUAAAUUUAGCAAAAAUAAAAAUAUUUUUGUUAAGAUGUUUGUUCUUUGUUGCAUACAACUAAUCUGAAAGACCGUUUAUUAUGACCAGGACAAUCAACUAACAGUUAAAUAAGCAUUAAAGCACUGUGUGGUCAUCUUAAAUAAAAGAUAGCUUUUAAAAUAAUCUCAACCCGAUUGCUUUCAGAUAGCCACAAUGUCUUCUAGAAGACCUUCUAUUGAUUUUGUGGGCACAUUAGCUUUGAUAUAAGCAUCUUAAUCUUCAAUCUUAAUGGAAGUCCUUUUGGUUUUGCUUUCAGGGAUCAUCACUCUAUAAAACCUUCAAUUAUCAAUAUGGGGCGGAAAAUGGUUGAAAAGGCAUAUUACUCUAACGUUUUGCUUUAUGUAUUGUAGCUGGUCUUCAACUUGAUUUAUUCUCCAGUAGAAAAGAAUUCCAUUUGGGUGUGCAAGGGUGUAUUUGUUUAAAAGUAAUUUUAUAAGGAUUACCAUUGCUAUGAUACUGCAUUUUUUAAAUAAUUAAUAUUUAAAAAAUAAAUUUACUCUAGGACUGUG